AUCUCCUUACUCUGAUCCAUAUAUGGAGGUGUAUGGCAUAUGGAGGUUUGUGAUUGCAGAGCUUAAUUUUUGCAAUUGCAGAACUAAUUUUUGCUUUCCCAGUUCACACAAUGUAUGACACAGGUCAAAUUUCUUUUGAGAGUGAAUUGAAGUUAUAGCAGGAUAACACAUACACCAAUCAUGCGUACUCGUGAUAGUAUAAUGAAUGGAUGUUCAACUGUCUUUUUCUGUUUCUGAAAUCAUCUACAGUUUUGGAAGGGAGUUGUAUAUUCUAAGAAUAUAUUAUGCUGCAGACUGGAUAGAUGGAGCGUAGGAAAGGAGGUGAUAUCUUUAUUAAAUCAGUAAUGCCAUUUGUGAAACUCUAUUUAAAAUGAUUCAUAUAAGUUUGUGAAACUCUAUUUAAAAUGAUUCACAUUAUCUUGUACUGUCACCUCUGACUGCUAUAACAUAGUUCUCAAGUGAUUGAGUCCUUACAUGUUAACAUAACUAUUUCACAAAGUAUUAGUUACAUCAACUUCAUGAGUUCUGAGUGAAUUUGAUUUCUGUUGUUUGUUUCAAAAUAGUGCCAACUGCUGAGAAUAUCCAUUCAUGACAAGAUAGAAUACCCAACUGCCUAGAUUAACUAUGCCAGUCAAAGCUUUCUUAUUCCAUGAGUAGAAAUAGAAUUAGGAUGUUCCAUGAUUAAGUGGUCAAAGACUAAUUAUAGUUUUUCUUCUCCUUAAGAAGCAGAUAGCAUUUAAGGACUCUGAUUUCCAACAUGCUCUUAUGCUACAGAGAAGAAGCAGUCUGAACCUUUUCUGAUCAGAGAGCAUUACUCCGGUAAAAUAGAUUUAAGCUUCUACACUCAUAUAUAUACACUGCUUAGAUGAAGAUUAUUUCUAUCAUUGAUAAUUGCUAAUCUGCAUGUGUGAUUCAGACUACUCGUGUUUUAGGAUGUUAACGAAGUCCUUGCCUGCAACCGUUUCAGAGAAAUAGGCAGCACAUCAAAUUUAGCUUUGUGUGAUCUCAGAUUCACCUGCGCUGAGAUCUACUUAGCUUUUAACUAGCCACAACAAAAAACAAAUAUUGAUGCAUUAUGCCCAUUGGCAAUCACACAUGUUCUGAAGGCAACAAACUCAUGAAGGAUUGUGUGUGGCUGCACAAGUUGAGUCGAUCUCGACCUAUCUAUGUAUGCUGGAUUUAACCCGCUCACAGGAGUUUAUAUGAUAAUUAUUAGUGUAUAUACCCCCAACCUCAGUGUUGAAUUAAAUAUAGAACUAUCACACGUUCCAGCUCACAAUUUCGUAUUGUCAUGAUUGGACGAACAAAAGCUGGUUAUUUGGUAGCUAUGCAUACUUGUUGCAUGUAGAUUUAUAGUGCUCGGAUGUGGUGUAAUAUUGAUGCUUCGAAUGCCGAAAAAACACCUGAUGAUAGGAUAAACUGGAGCUCGGAUGUAACAUGUAACCAUGAUGAUGGAUGUAUUGUGAUGCUCAUGAUUGAUAUGCUGGAUAGACACCUGAUGGCUAGGAUAGCUUCAUGCUCGGAUGUGCUGUAAUAUUUAUGAUUCAAAUGUCAGAUAGAUACCUAUAUUAAUAUGUUAACAUGUUAAUUAUCA